rnacentral:rRNA from 1 species
UACGUAGGGUGCAAGCGUUUGUCCGGAAUUAUUGGGCGUAAAGAGCUCGUAGGCGGUCUGUCGCGUCGGCUGUGAAAACCCGGAGCUCAACUCCGGGCCUGCAGUCGAUACGGGCAAACUGGAGUACUGCAGGGGAGACUGGAAUUCCUGGUGUAGCGGUGAAAUGCGCAGAUAUCAGGAGGAACACCGGUGGCGAAGGCGGGUCUCUGGGCCGAUAUUGACGCUGGAGGAGCGAAAGCGUGGGGAGCGAACAGG